ensembl:lncRNA
UUUCACUUAAUUGGAGGACUUGCGAAGGGAAAACGUGUGAUUUUCGCUUAAAUGUGGGAUUUCUGAAGAGAAAAUGCGUGUUUUUUUUGUGUUAAUUGGGGGAUUUGCAAAGAGAAAAUGCGUGAUUUUCGCUUAAAUGGGGGAUUUGAGUAAACACAUGAUUUUCGGGUUCAGUGGGGGAUUCUAGAAGAGAAAAUGCUUGGUUUUCUGGUUAAAUGGGGGAUUAGCGAAGAGAAAACGCGUGACUUUUGCUUAAAUGUGGGAUUUGAGAAAACGUGUGAUUUUCACUUAAAUGUUGGAUUCUCAAAGAGAAAACGUGAUUUACGCAUAAAUGUGUGAUUUGCGAAAAGAAAACGGGUGUUUUUCGCAUAAAUGGGGGAUUUGUGUAGAGAAAACGCGUGAUUUUCAAGUUAAAUGGGGGAUUUGCGAAGGGAAAACGUGUGAUUUUCGCUUAAAUGUGGGAUUUCUGAAGAGAAAAUGCGUGUUUUUUUGUGUUAAAUGGGGUAUUCGCGAAGAGAAAAUGCGUGAUUUUCGCUUAAAUGGGGGACUUGCAAAGAUAAAACGCGUGAUUUUCUGGUUAAAUGUUGGAUUCUCGAAGAGAAAACGCGUGGUUUUCGGGUUAAAAGGGGGAUUCUCGAAGAGAAAACGCGUGAUUUUCGGGUUGAAUGGGGGAUUUGCGAAGAGAAGACGCGUGAUUUUCGCUUAAAUGGGGGAUUUGCGAAGAGAAAACGCGUGAUUUUCGCUUAAAUGGGGGAUUUGCGAAGAGAAAACGCGUGAUUUUCGCAUAAAUGGGGGAUUUGAGAAGAGAAAACGCGUGAUUUCCG